rnacentral:rRNA from 1 species
GGGCGCAAGCCUGAUGCAGCGACGCCGCGUGAGGGAUGACGGCCUUCGGGUUGUAAACCUCUUUCAGCAGGGAAGAAGCGCGAGUGACGGUACCUGCAGAAGAAGGACCGGCCAACUACGUGCCAGCAGCCGCGGUA